GUAGCUACACAAUUCCAAAUUCCAAAAUGAUUAGAUAAAAGGUAAAUAUCCUAUUUCUAUUUUAAAAUAUAAUAACAAAUAUUCAGAGUAGUCAUUUGGUUUGAUUGACUUCAUUGACUAGUUGCUUUGACAUUGACUAGUUGCUUUGGCAUCUUGGCUUUGCCAAAGCAGAAUGUGUAACUCUCAUUGUAAAAAUUGCCACAACUCAUGGGAGUCCUUUGGUACCAGAGGAAGACCCAAUCACACAAGAUCACUUCUUGCCCCAGAGAGGGAGGCCCUGCAGGUCAGGGUUGAGGCCACUGGCAAACACACUGUGGAAAACACAAAUGCCAUGUUGCUUUUGCCCUGGUGAAUAAGCAGUGUGGUGUUUGUUUAAUGAUACAAGUCCAUCCUGUUUUCCAGCUGCACCUUGGAUAGUAUUGAUCUGUUUGGGAAAAUGUCUGCUUCGAAUCUGCAUAGAUCAGUCCCCAGGACUCUCAUCAUCCCACGUUAUUUUCUGGACAAAUUGGUGGAAAUGAGACCCAGAACAGAGGUGAAAUGUGUAUACCACACAGGCUGAAAUGAAGAGGCAAGAGACAUUCUUUUUCCAGAGUUUAAUCAUCCGCCAUUUGUCCUGUGAGAUGCCAAGACACCUCCUCAGAUAUCAAUUGGAAGAUAAGCAACAACUCUUUUGGAGUAUGGAUCUAGGUGAUAGAGUGAGGCAUAAUUCAUUAGUGCUGUUGUUACUAUCAGAAGUCAGAUCCAACUCCAAACAUAUAAUGUGCUGGGAUUAA
rnacentral:lncRNA from 1 species